CCCGAAAUUUCCCCCAAAUCCUUCGCACAUUUCCCCCAAAUCAAUUCGCACUUCAUUCCCCCCCAAAUCAGUCCGUGCGACCAGGGCCACACCGCCGAUUUCCUCUAGACUGUCGACCGCCGAUUUCCUCCAGACCGCCGACUGCCACACCGCCGACUGCCACCAUCUCCUUCGCGAGGCGCUGACUGCCACCGCCGACCGCCAUCUCCUUCGCGAACCAGGAGCGCCGACCGUCGCCGUUUGCGACCCAGGAGCGCCGGCCACCACAGCCAUUGCCUCCUCUCGCGUACAGCCGCCGGCGCCAUCUCCGUUCGUCCAAGGUCCAUCCCGUCGCCAUUUCCGUUCCGACUAGUCAGUGCUUACUCAUUGGGAUAUAUGCUGAGCCAAUGACUCCAAGGCAGUGCAACAUGGUUGUUGAAAGGCUCGGUGAUUAUUUGAUUGAUCAGGGCUUUUAGUCAUAAUUACGGUGGGUACUAUUAACCGCAGAUUUUUCAAUUUGCCAUAUUAAUAAACUGCACCUAAUUGCUUGCAUAUGAAAUUGUUGCAUUGGUAUUUUGAGGCAAACAAUUUAAGAUUGUGGUUUCUUGCUGAUGGCACACAACCAAAGUAGUGGUAGAUAAAAUUUUACGAAAUAAUUAACAAAGCGUUGGAAUCAUUUCCUGUUGAAAAAGAGUACAUUGAUUUGGAUUUAGAUCAUACAGUCUUCCAUCACGGAAACGUGAAUGGUGUUUUUGUGAUGAUGAGGAUAUACAGGAUAUGUUGACAAUGAAGUGGCUCAAUGUCUCGAUUAUACAAGUGUUUAUGCUGUUUUUGAAUAAGCUGUGUAAGCAACUUGAGUCACAUCUAUCGGUUUUGCAUGCCCAACCCAAAUUUCAGCAAAUAUGGUCAACAUUAAUAGUUCUAAUGUUACAUCAUAUCUAAUUCAUGUUAUGGACGAACACAAGGAUCAACAAUUCAUAUUCGCACCGUAUCAUGAAGACAAUCAUUGGUUGUUGAUUGUGAUUUGCACACCUUCAAAAGCGGUGUAUGUGUUUGAUCUUAUGAAAACUCAGCGUACCAUUGAAGUCAAAACUUUUGUGAAUAUGGCAUUUCGAUCUAUUCCUACUAAUGGGCGAGCAACUAGAAAUAUUAAUUGGACGGAAUGCAAAAUAUUUGAAGUAGCACCCUACUCCAUGAACGAAAUAGAUGAAGUUCGUGAGUCGUGGGCACAAUACUUCAUAGAAGAGUGCGUGUAACUUGGUUUGGUUUAAACAUUAUCUUUAUUAUUAUUAACUUAUGUUUAUGUUUUGUUAAAGAAUUGUAUCAAGUAUAUUGUAGUGACUUAUUGUGAGAUUAUUAAAUGUUAAGUAUUGUGUGAUGAUGUUUGUGUUCA